rnacentral:tRNA from 1 species
GCCCAUGUGGUGAAAUUGGUAAACACGCUACAUUCAGGGUGUAGUGAGCUUAAGCUCUUGGAAGUUCGAGUCUUCUCAUGGGCACAA